GAUUAACGCUGGCGGCGUGCAUAACACAUGCAAGUCGAACGAAGUGGCGGACGGGUGAGUAACGCGUGAGUAACCUGCCUUAGAGAAGGGGAUAGCCUUUGGAAACGAAGAAUAAUACCCUAUGCUCUAAGAUGGACUUGCGUCUGAUUAGUUAGUUGGUGAGGUAACGGCUCACCAAGACAGCGAUCAGUAGCCGGCUUGAGAGAGUGUACGGCCACAUUGGGACUGAGACACGGCCCAGACUCUACGGGAGGCAGCAGUGGGGAAUUUUGCACAAUGGGGGAAACCCUGAUGCAGCGACGCCGCGUGAUGUAGAAGGCCUUCGGGUUGUAAACCGCUUUCAGCCAUGACGCGGUAGUGGCAGAAGAAGCACCGGCUAACUACGUGCCAGCAGCCGCGGUAAUAC
rnacentral:rRNA from 1 species